rnacentral:rRNA from 1 species
AAUCAGCGGGGGAAGAAGACCCUGUUGAGCUUGACUCUAGUCCGACUUUGAAAAAUGACUUAGGAGCUUCUG